UACGUAGGGGGCGAGCGUUGUCCGGAUUUAUUGGGCGUAAAGAGCGUGUAGGCGGCCAGGUAGGUCUGCUGUGAAAACUCGAGGCUCAACCUCGAGACGUCGGCGGAAACCAUCUGGCUAGAGUCCGGAAGAGGAGAGUGGAAUUCCUGGUGUAGCGGUGAAAUGCGCAGAUAUCAGGAGGAACACCAAUGGCGAAGGCAGCUCGCUGGGACGUGACUGACGCUGAGACGCGAAAGCGUGGGGAGCGAACAGG
rnacentral:rRNA from 1 species